AGCUUUGUGCAGUGGCAGUAUCGUAGCCAAUGAGGUUAAUCCGAGGCGCGAUUAUUGCUAAUUAUAAUAAUAAAAAAAUAGCAGCAAAUAAUAAUUAAACAGAAAUUCGCUCUCAACAAUUAUGAUAAACCAUUCCUAAGG
rnacentral:snRNA from 1 species